rnacentral:miRNA from 1 species
GAAAAUGACAAGUGGCUAGUU